AGUGAAUCAUCGAAUCUUUGAACGCAUCUUGCGCUCCUUGGUAUUCCGAGGAGCAUGCCUGUUUGAGUGUCAUUAAUCUUCUCAAAACAUUUAACUUUGUAAUGUUUUGGAUUUUGGGAGUCAUUGCUGGCCGGUUGGAGUCAGCUCUCCUUAAAAGUAAAUAGGAUGGGAAAGGCCCUUUCUCCACUCAUUUGGUGUGAUAAUUAUCUAUGCCAAGGGGGG
rnacentral:misc_RNA from 1 species